CCUACGGGUGGCAGCAGUGGGGAAUAUUGCACAAUGGGGGAAACCCUGAUGCAGCGACGCCGCGUGAGUGAAGAAGGAUUUCGGUAUGGAAAGCUCUGUCAGCAGGGAAGAAAAUGACGGUACCUGACCAAGAAGCCCCAGCUAACUACGGCCCAGCAGCCGCGGUAAUACGUAGGGGGCAAGCGUUAUCCGGAUUUGCUGGGUGUAAAGGGAGCGUAGACGGCAGGGCAAGUCUGGUGUGAAAGGCGGGGGCUCAACCCGCGGACUGCUCUGGAAACUGCCAGGCUGGAGUGCAGGAGAGGGAAGUGGAAUUCCUAGUGUAGCGGUGAAAUGCGUAGAUAUUAGGAGGAACACCAGUGGCGAAGGCGGCUUACUGGACUGUAACUGACGUUGAGGCUCGAAAGCGUGGGGAGCAAACAGGAUUAGAUACCCGUGUAGUC
rnacentral:rRNA from 1 species